rnacentral:tRNA from 1 species
AAAUCCGUCGACUUUAUAGGUGGUGAGGGUUCAAGUCCCUCUAUCCCCA